rnacentral:rRNA from 1 species
CGAAGGGGGCUAGCGUUGUUCGGAAUUACUGGGCGUAAAGCGCGCGCAGGCGGUCUUCCAAGUCAGUGGUGAAAGCCCGGAGCUCAACUCCGGAACUGCCAUUGAAACUGUUAGGCUUGAGGAUGAGAGAGGUGAGUGGAAUUCCCAGUGUAGAGGUGAAAUUCGUAGAUAUUGGGAAGAACACCGGUGGCGAAGGCGGCUCACUGGCUCAUUACUGACGCUCAGGCGCGAUAGCGUGGGGAUCAAACAGGAUUAGAUACCCUGGUAGUCCACGCCGUAAACGAUGAGUGCUAGCCGUUGGGCAGCUUGCUGUUCAGUGGCGCAGCUAACGCAUUAAGCAUUCCGCCUGGGGAGUACGGCCGCAAGGUUG